GUGAUAUAGUCUGAGAAUAAAGAAAAGGUUGUCCCAUUAUUCUUCUUCAUCUUCGUAAAGCGUAGCCGACAUUUAGUUUUAGGGUUCGUCAACUCCUGCUCAAACUGAUUAGGGCUACCAACAGCGGAGUUUCUAAAAAGUUGUGUGAGAUUAAUCUUUUUGAGUAAUCUUUGCAUCUAUCUUGGUUCGUGGCGUUUCGUUUGUGACUCUUCUCCUCAAAGGCGUUACCAGUUGUAUUGAUGCGACGCCAUUUAAGAGAUCAUAACUCUUUCCAUCCGCUGCAAGCACGAUUACUCAUUCAAUGAUUCUUCUCUCUCUAUUGGAUUUCCACUUAUAAAAAGGAAACUGCAAACACGUUUUCCCACGAUUCAACCUUGAGGUUUAAAAAUCAGGUUCAAUUAGCUAUUGUCUGAACAUGUUCAGGAUUACAAUCGACUGCAGAAGUUUACCUCAAAGAUUUGUCUCAGGCACAAGAUUUGCAAUCACCGGAAAGAUCUAAUGAGUCUCUGAUUUUUGUUAGGGAUCAAACCUAUCUCAGUCUUUCGUCCGGCUGCCUUGAAGUUUAUAAGGAACUGAUAUCAAUCUCACUUAUGGAUUCAGACUUCCUACUUCCUUCAAUCAAAGUUCCAGGUUGGAAAGCUUCAGAUUGCGCCUCAAGUCAUGGGAUGAACCUUGGAAGCUGUGGUAUGCUGUUCUCAAAUUGAAAAACAUGGUGAUGACUCAGGGCAAUAUGCUUCAAGCCGAACUGAUGUUUCCAAACCCUGAACGCAUUUGAAAGGGAAUAUACAAACAUGGCCCGAGCUCUUACUUCUAAUUAAUUUGUUGAAUGUUUUUAAGAAAAAUAAAUUAUAUAUUAUUCUUUUAAAGAAAAUGGUUUUGUAUUUCUGGAGACCUAACAAAAGCAUAUAUCCUCUGUACUUUAUUACCAUGGGAGAUACGGGAUUAUUAGUGGUGAA